rnacentral:tRNA from 4 species
AAGGGCUUAGCUUAAUUAAAGUGAUUGAUUUGCAUUCAGUUGAUGUAAGAUAGAGUCUUGCAGUCCUUA